rnacentral:rRNA from 1 species
CCUGGGAACUGCGUUNUGAACUGGGUGACUAGAGUGUGUCAGAGGGAGGUAGAAUUCCACGUGUAGCAGUGAAAUGCGUAGAGAUGUGGAGGAAUACCGAUGGCGAAGGCAGCCUCCUGGGAUAACACUGACGUUCAUGCUNGAAAGCGUGGGUAGCAAACAGGAUUAGAUACCCUGGUAGUCCACGCCCUAAACGAUGUCGAUUAGCUGUUGGGCAACUUGAUUGCUUAGUAGCGUAGCUAACGCGUGAAAUUGACCGCCUGGGGAGUACGGUCGCAAGAUUAAAACUCAAAGGAAUUGACGGGGACCCGCACAAGCGGUGGAUGAUGUGGAUUAAUUCGAUGCAACGCGAAGAACCUUACCUGGUCUCGACAUGUACGGAAUCCUCCAGAGACGGAGGAGUGCCUUCGGGAGCCGUAACACAGGUGCUGCAUGGCUGUCGUCAGCUCGUGUCGUGAGAUGUUGGGUUAAGUCCCGCAACGAGCGCAACCCUUGUCAUUAGUUGCCAUCAUUUAGUUGGGCACUCUAAUGAGACUGCCGGUGACAAGCCAGAGGAAGGUGGGGAUGACGUCAAGUCCUCAUGGCCCUUAUGACCAGGGCUUCACACGUCAUACAAUGGUCGGUACAGAGGGUAGCCAAGCCGCGAGGUGGAGCCAAUCUCACAAAACCGAUCGUAGUCCGGAUUGCACUCUGCAACUCGAGUGCAUGAAGUCGGAAUCGCUAGUAAUCGCAGGUCAGCAUACUGCGGUGAAUACGUUCCCGGGUCUUGUACACACCGCCCGUCACACCAUGGGAGUGGGGGAUACCAGAAGU